rnacentral:rRNA from 1 species
GACGAACGCUGGCGGCGUGCUUAACACAUGCAAGUCGAACGGAAAGGCCCUGCUUUUGUGGGGUGCUCGAGUGGCGAACGGGUGAGUAACACGUGAGUAACCUGCCCUUGACUUUGGGAUAACUUCAGGAAACUGGGGCUAAUACCGGAUAUGAUCUCCUGCUGCAUGGUGGGGGUUGGAAAGUUUCGGCGGUUGGGGAUGGACUCGCGGCUUAUCAGCUGGUUGGUGGGGUAGUGGCUUACCAAGGCUUUGACGGGUAGCCGGCCUGAGAGGGUGACCGGCCACAUUGGGACUGAGAUACGGCCCAGACUCCUACGGGAGGCAGCAGUGGGGAAUAUUGCACAAUGGGCGGAAGCCUGAUGCAGCAGCGCCGCGUGCGGGAUGACGGCCUUCGGGUUGUAAACCGCUUUCGCCUGUGACGAAGCGUGAGUGACGGUAAUGGGUAAAGAAGCACCGGCUAACUACGUG